GGGUGAGAGGAAACCCCCCUGAGGGUGGAGAGGAUUCGGGAGUUCCUCGUGGAGAAGUCCCGGCGCUCAGAGGCGGAGGAUCCUUCAGAGGAGAGGAACGUGACAGCUGAGGAGGAAGAUGAUGAUGAAGAGGUACCGGAUCUCAGGACUCUGAAGCUCAACACUGAACCGUCACAUCUUUUCGUGGAUCGUUCAAACGGUACCGCCCACUUCCUGAAACGCGCCUCGUUGUAACACGGAUCCUCUGCUUUAAAUCUUUGCUCUUUGUCUAUUUAUCCCUCCAUCCAUCCAUGUAUCUAUCCAUCCAUCC